AUGUAGGUAUCUACCCUUUGGUGAGGAAUAACACGAGGAAACUUGUGCUAAUACCUCAUAAGUCUUUACGGAGAAAGCUUUAUGCGCCGAAGGAUGAGCCUGCACUUGAUUAGUUUGUUGGUGGGGUAAUGGCCUACCAAGACUUUGAUCUAUAGCUGAUCUGAGAGGAUGAUCAGCCACAUUGGGACUGAGACACGGCCCAAACUCCUACGGGAGGCAGCAGUAGGGAAUAUUGCACAAUGGAGGAAACUCUGAUGCAGCGAUGCCGCGUGAGUGAAGAAGGCCUUUGGGUUGUAAAGCUCUUUCGUCGGGGAAGAAAAUGACUGU
rnacentral:rRNA from 1 species